ensembl:lncRNA novel transcript
GCCUAAGGUUCUUGCCUAGCCACACCAAAGAAUUGGUGUAGCAGCUGACCAUGGCAAGUGAUAGAGACACGGACUGAGAGAGAGAAAAAGCUGUAGGCUUUAUUGAGCAGAGUGAAAGUACAAAGCUUCCACAGCAUGGAAGGGGUCCCGAAUGGGUAGCCACUGUUGGUUUUGGGUGAUUGCCUUGUCAAUUUUUCAAGGCAGGAGAUACGUGAGGCGGGAAGCUUGUUACAGGAGGGAGAAACAAAGCUUUCUUGGGGAAGAAAACACAUGCACAAAUCCUGGUGUAAGGAAUAUUUUAAGCAUAUAUCUUCAAUAUCAUUCAUCCAGGACCGAGCAAGACCAACACUCUUCCUCCUCCUCUGCCUACUCAAUGUGAAGACAAUGAGGAUGAACACCUUUAUGAUGCUCCACUUCCACUUAUUGAAUAGUGCUACACAUGAAACUUGUAACCAGUUACUACAGGCGAAAGCAAAUCCAUGUCUUCAGGCUGGUGUCAUCAGGGAGAGAAGCUUUGGUUUCCACAUAAGGAUAUAAGAUCAUUGAUGUAAAACAAGUGAGUUUCACUUUAUACCCAGGACAUGUAACCUCUCAAAUUGAGAGAAUGGAUUGGAGAGAUAUUGUUGACCAUGUUUUCCCCUGUAUCUCACCUUCCCCUCUCCAAGACUUCCUUGUCAGUUACCCAUAUUGAUAUCAGUUUAUCCACAUCCAUGCUUUCAAGUUUAAACAAAGAAACUAGGCAAAGGCAGCUAUGUAUUCGCUAGGAUUAGGGAGGAGAAGAUAAUGAACCACUGGAUAGUGAGAAGAAAGAGAGGUGGAGAAAGUGAGAGACCCCAGUAACAGAGGACAGGGACACAUUGCUAAGGAUAGGGACACAUUCACUGUAAUAUAGAAGGCCAUGCUUAUAUGUAAAAUAUGCAGUAAUUGUAUAUAUAUGUACAAAAGUGAUGACACACAUAUGCACAUAAACAAAACACAAUUACUGUCUAUGUUUCUUUAUUUGUGACCUAAUGUUUUAUGUUGUUUGUAACUGAAAAAAAAAUUCCCUUCUGAAUAAAAUGUCAAUUUUGCGAUUGCA